rnacentral:rRNA from 1 species
AACGAACGCUGGCGGCAGGCCUAACACAUGCAACUCGAGCGGGCAUUUCGGUGCUAACAGAGGACGAGUGAAUAAAGCGUGAGAACGUGCCCUUUUCUGAGGACAACUCAUGGACAACUGAGGGCAACACCGCAUACGCCCUUUUGGGGAAAGAUUUAUCGGAGAAGGAUCGGCCCGCGUUGGAUUAGGUAGUUGGUGGGGUAAUGGCCCACCAAGCCGACGAUCCAUAGCUGGUUUGAGAGGAUGAUCAGCCACACUGGGACUGAGACACGGCCCAGACUCCUACGGGAGGCUGCAGUGGGGAAUCUUAGACAAUGGGGGCAACCCUGAUCUAGCCAUGCCGCGUGAGUGAUGAAGGCCUUAGGUGUGUAAAGCUCUUUCAGCUGGGAAGAUAAUGACGGUACCAGCAGAAGAAGCCCCGGCUAACUCCGUG